rnacentral:rRNA from 1 species
GAUGAACGCUGGCGGCGUGCCUAAUACAUGCAAGUCGAGCGAACAGAUGAGGAGCUUGCUCCUCUGACGUUAGCGGCGGACGGGUGAGUAACACGUGGAUAACCUACCUAUAAGACUGGGAUAACUUCGGGAAACCGGAGCUAAUACCGGAUAAUAUAUUGAACCGCAUGGUUCAAUAGUGAAAGACGGUUUUGCUGUCACUUAUAGAUGGAUCCGCGCCGCAUUAGCUAGUUGGUAAGGUAACGGCUUACCAAGGCAACGAUGCGUAGCCGACCUGAGAGGGUGAUCGGCCACACUGGAACUGAGACACGGUCCAGACUCCUACGGGAGGCAGCAAUAGGGAAUCUGCCGCAAAGGGCGAAAGCCCGACGGAGCAACGCCGCGUGAGUGAUGAAGGUCUUCGGAUCGUAAAACUCUGUUAUUAGGGAAGAACAAAUGUGUAAGUAACUAUGCACGUCUUGACGGUACCUAAUCAGAAAGCCACGGCUAACUACGUG